CUAAUAUACAGGUAUAUUAUACAGGUCAUGUCUAAUAUACAGGUCAGGUCUAAUAUACAGGUCUAAUAUACAGGUCAGGUCUAAUAUACAGGUCUGUUCAGUGCCAGUAUGCAUGAAUUAUGAAUGAAUGAUGAAUUUUGUUCCUACAGCUGGACGGAGGAAUUGAACCAGUUAUGGGUCUGGAGAAAGAAGGGGUCAUUUAUACACACCAGGCUGUCAAUCAGGAUUAUGAUGAAUACGGUAAAGACAAGAAGACGGGAUCAGGGCCAGUCCUCCCAUUAGACCGUCGCCUAUGGCAGCACCUGAAUUUGAGGCGAUAUUUUGACAAUUGUCUGCCGCCCUCCGUCGCCCCUGUUCGGUCACUACACCGCCCGCGGCGCCCAGCCACCAGCUCAUAGUGUUGCUACAGUUACCUCCCCCACCCCAUUCCCCCUUCUCCCGAAGUUCACUCACACUAUCCUUGGUAGGAAUGGUGAUGUCUGUCUUUAUAUGGGAUUAUCCAAUUGUGAAACAUGAAUAAAUUAAUCUUCCAAAUAAAUGAUUGUAUUUUGUUUAAGUGUGUUUGUGAGGAAGACGAUUAGUGAUUAAGGCAGUAGCCUAAUUUAAUACGUGUUAUGUACACAUUCUGCCCUUGAGUUGCAUUCCCAUGCAAAACUAGACAGAUAGCUAACAACUAAGUCUUCAAUAAAACUCCCAAAUCGUGA